CAGGAUCUUGUUUGCAGACUUCUUCCUGGUUAACCUGAUCCUGUGGGUGGAGGGCUUCUUGGCAGGCAUCCCCUUCGGCACACUGGUGGCCAGCUUGGCUUUGUGGUUUGGCAUCUCCGUGCCACUUACCUUCGUGGGCGCCUAGCCUACUUCGGCCUCAAGAGGCCUGCGAUUGAGCAGCCAGUGCAAACCGAGAAGAUCACUCGGCAGAUCCAUGAACUUUCCUUCUUCACCAAGCCCGUGCCCGGAAUCGUCAUGGAUGGGCAUCCAUCCAUUCGGCUGGAUCUUCAUCCAGCUCUUCUUCAUCCUCAACAGCAUCUGGUUUGGGUUCCUGGUGUUCAUCAUUUUCCUCAUCACCUACUCCAAGGUCACCAUCCUGCUGUGCUACUUCCACUUGUGUGCAGAGGUGGUGGCACGCCUUCCUGACCAGUCUCUUCAUGGCAGUCUACCUGUUUGUCUACGACAUGGACUACUUCUUCUCUAAGCUGCAGAUCAUCAGCCACUACCAUCCUCUAAUUCACCAUGAUCAUGGUGCUCAUAUUCUUCUUCUUCACAAGGGAGUCAACGACAGUGCCACACUACGCAAGGCUAGACUCAGUAACAGGUUUUUGCAGAGGAGCCUAAACAAAUGGGGUAUCUCUUGAUUUUCACUUUAAUAAACAGUGUUGGAGCUUUUGGUCGACUCAUCGGCUGUUUCCAGCCCCCUUCCUCAAUAGGAAUUUUAUCCGUGUAGUAUCUGAAGAGUCUAGGAUUGUGCUGACGUUUACAAAAGUGUGUUAGAGGAAACGUGGCUCUUUUUGCUGAAACAUCUGGAAAGCAUUACUAAAUUCCUGGAAAAGAGGAUAUGUAAUGGCCAGGGAUUGGAUGUUAGAAUCACGCCAUGCUCUGGCCAUGUAUGAUAUAAAUGCCAUGUCUUGAACAGAGAGGGGAGAAUAGCAAAUUACUGAUUGGCUGUGCUGUCUCACAGAUAUCUGCAGAAUCUGUCAAAUUCCGAUGCUGGAACCUUUGUUAUAAUAAACCUUUAAAAACAGA